rnacentral:rRNA from 1 species
ACAUCCAGCGAACUUGGCAGAGAUGCCUUGGUGCCUUCGGGAACGCUGAGACAGGUGCUGCAUGGCUGUCGUCAGCUCGUGUUGUGAAAUUGUUGGGUUAAGUCCCGCAACGAGCGCAACCCUUAUCCUUUGUUGCCAGCGAUUCGGUCGGGAACUCAAAGGAGACUGCCGGUGAUAAACCGGAGGAAGGUGGGGAUGACGUCAAGUCAUCAUGGCCCUUACGAGUAGGGCUACACACGUGCUACAAUGGCGCAUACAAAGAGAAGCGACCUCGCGAGAGCAAGCGGACCUCAUAAAGUGCGUCGUAGUCCGGAUCGGAGUCUGCAACUCGACUCCGUGAAGUCGGAAUCGCUAGUAAUCGUGGAUCAGAAUGCCACGGUGAAUACGUUCCCGGGCCUUGUACACACCGCCCGUCACACCAUGGGAGUGGGUUGCAAAAGAAGUAGGUAGCUUAACCUUCGGGAGGGCGCUUACCACUUUGUGAUUCAUGACUGGGGUGAAGUCGUAACAAGGUAGGCGUAGCGAG